GCCGGGCGUGGUGACGCAUGCCUGUAGUCCCAACUACUCAGGAGGCUGGGGCAGGAGAAUCACUUGAACCCAGGAGGCGGAGGUUGCAGUGAGCAGAGAUCAUGCCACUGCACUCCAGCCUGGGUGACAGAGUGAGACCCCAUCUCUA
ensembl:misc_RNA Metazoa_SRP Metazoan signal recognition particle RNA